AGCAGGAUAGAGUAACGGCAACUUGUCGCGCCCAUAACGCGAAGCUGCGGGUUCGAAUCCCGCUCCUGCUCCCA
rnacentral:tRNA from 1 species